rnacentral:antisense_RNA from 1 species
GCCGCCCGGUGGCUUUGUUUCUAGUGGAAGUCCGCGUGCUUUGAUACCCUCAGGGGGCACUUACAGGCUAGGUGGACACAGGGCUAGGGGAUAAGAAUGCAGCAGUGAACACGGUUCCUGCACUCAUGAAGCAAAUGUAUCCACUGUGGUACAAAAGAGACUGUAAAAAACAAACCCAAAUGGACAACAGGAAAAGACAGAAGCUGAUUGAGGUCCCAGCUUGGUAACAGUUUGAAGAGUUGCAGGACUGGCUGGAUGAGUACUGGCUGCAGCAAGUCAGGCUGCCAGGAUUCUUUAUGGCUGUUUCUGCUUCCACUACAGCUGAGUCAGAAAGGUCGCUGCCCAGUGGUGGCACUAGACGCAGUGGACCUGGCAAGCAAAUGUUUCCGCUAUUAGCUCUCAGCAACAGAGACUCAUUUAUGGUCACCUUGGAAAUCUGGGCUUAUCGAUCUACAGCCCAAGUCUGCUGAGAAGCUGGAGCUUAAUAAAGGGGAAACCUGAGAGCUGUUCAAGCCCCAAACAUUUUCCACUUCUGCGUCACCUCUGCUGUCUGUUAGCAGAGUGGAGGAGAAAAUACACCAGCACAAACAAUGCGAAAAAAUAGUUACUCUAUUCAUUAAAAGCUGUAACUUCCAGAUUGGACUUGAGAAGCAAUUAAGCAACAGAGGCACCUCGUCUACUAUCUGUAUUCAGGCAUGCUCAUGAGAACACGCUGCUCCAGCUGG